AGCCGGGGCCCCGCCCCUCCUCGGACUCUACCCAGUACUGAACUAGGGGCAGCUGGGCUCCAGAGUCCCUCGGGUCUCAGGUCAUGGCGGUCCCGGGGCCCGCGCCCGGAGCUGGCGCCAGAGCAAUUUGUGAUCUACCGGGUUGGCUUGAUCCCCAGUCAGUACUAUGGGGUCCUGGGAAACAAAGACUUGGAAGGGUUUAAGACUCUGACAUUCCUGGCUGUCAUGCUCAUUGUUCUGAACUCCACGGUAAGAUCUUUCCCUCUCUCUGUGUCUCUCGUCCUCUCCAGUCCAGUGUGACCGUAAUGCCUAGUGGAACUUAGCCUCCAGGAAGCAGGAAGCAAGCUGUGGGGGUGUGUUUCCUCCCUUUUCUGGGAACUAAAGGGAUAGCUGCCUUUAUUAAGCACGUUGAUCUUGCUAUUGGCCCACGUGGGACUGAUUCCUCAGAUGUUUCCACUCCUGGGCCCAGGCCACAGGUUCUGGUUUAAUUCAGCAUUUAGCAGAACUGAUCAUUGCCCCUUUCCUUCCUAGAACUCUUGUUUCCGGCAGCUCAUUAAAACGGCUCAGCAGCCAGAGCUGCUGCUCCUCCUCUGCGGCACCGAGGCUGUGACUCACCUUGGCACCAUGUCACACCUCCCAGCCUUUGAACAGUGCUUUCUUGCAGAAUGGCCUCCUCCCCUACCCCUCAUUCAGUAGGGGGGCUACCACCUGCUCACUUUUCAUCAUCCCUCCGUUG
rnacentral:sRNA from 1 species